GACGAAUGCUAUAUCCUUUCUAGGCUGGUCUUCACUCAUCUGCUGUACCUACCACUUUCUGCUUUGGGAAUGCUGAGUGACUUUACCCUGUAGAACCUGGGCCCAUCUGAAAGAGGAAGGGAUGAAUGCCAGCUGGGUUGGCUGGCUGAAUGAGUGUGUUGCAUGGGUGGAACAUUGUUCACAUGCCUCAACACUUUCUGCGACUGGUCAGCUUGGUAGCAUUCAUUCUAGCAGUGGUCAGUCUACUCCUCUCCUUGAAGCAGAAUGGGAGAGUGUGGAGGAAGGCAGGAGCAGAAGCAAUCUGGAAAUAUGCUUCCAAAUGGGUAAAAAUAAACAAAGAUUCAGACAUCUCAGCAAAACUGGAAGCCAAGAAAUCAAAAGAAACCUUCGGACAACUGGAAAAAGCUUGAUCCUUGUAAGAAGCAAGCUCAUGUGUGUGCCCCAGUAGGAGUGGGGGGGAGGGGGGAGAGACCAAAGGGCUUUGACCCUGUGGCCCUCCGCAUCACAGGUGUUCCGAGCAUCUGUGGACAAAGCUGAAGCUGGAAGGAAGCAGAAUGUACCCAUCAAAGCUCUUCCCAUCACCGCCAUUUAUUAAAGAGAGGCAGU
rnacentral:lncRNA from 1 species